CAGCCGCCGCGGUAAUACGUAGGGUGCGAGCGUUAAUCGGAAUUACUGGGCGUAAAGCGUGCGCAGGCGGUUGUGUAAGACAGGUGUGAAAUCCCCGGGCUUAACCUGGGAACUGCGCUUGUGACUGCACAGCUAGAGUAUGGCAGAGGGGGGUGGAAUUCCACGUGUAGCAGUGAAAUGCGUAGAGAUGUGGAGGAACACCGAUGGCGAAGGCAGCCCCCUGGGCCAAUACUGACGCUCAUGCACGAAAGCGUGGGGAGCAAACAGGAUUAGAUACCCGCGUAGUCCAUGUCUCUUAUAC
rnacentral:rRNA from 1 species